CAUCCAACACCUACGGGGAUAAGCGUUCAAGAUUUAGACAGAGGAUUUACACAGGAAAGGAAGGACAAAGACAGAAAUUCUCCCAAAACAGAAAACAAUACAAUGGAUUUUUCCAAAAAAAUGCGUUUUUGGAAGAAGCUUGCCGCCAACCAAACGGUUGCUCCAGGGCCAAGUAAUCUGCAGAACGCAGAUAAGACAGAUAUGACAGCGGCUCAACAAACCAUUACGAGUCAAGCGUCAGAGAUCUCAAGUCUGAAAGAGAGUCUUCAAGAUGUCAAAAAGAUGUUUGAAGAUCGUGAAGCAGAAGUGCAGCUUCUGGUAAGUAGGGCGAUCGAGUCAAACAACCUUGAACUUGCGGACCACUUCUCAGAGAAGGCGGCCAAACUCCAACAGAUCCAGACAAACUCUACACAAGAGUACGAGAUUCUCCUGGCAGAACACCAAAACGUGGUUUUUGCCCUCCAUGCUGAGCAGGCCAAGACAACGCAGCUGGAGGAACAUAAGAACGUUCUGGAACAGAAAAGAAUGUUCUUGGAACAGAAAAUUGAGGUUCUGGAGGAGGGAAAGAAGGUUCUAGAUGAGGAAGGGAUUGUCCUGGGGGAGAAAAAAAUGGCCCUGGAACAGGAAAAUAUGCUCUUGGGGCAGAAAAAUAUCACCCUGGGCCAGGAAAACAUGCUCUUGGGGCAGAAAAAUAUCGCUCUGGCCCAGGAAAAUAUGCUCUUGGGGCAGAAAAAUAUCGCCCUGGGCCAGGACAAUAUGCUCCUGGGGCAAGAAAAGUUGGCUCUCCAGGACGAAAAGAUGGUCCUUGGGCAGGAAAAGGAAGUCCUGGAGAAGGAAAAGAUGGUUCUUGGCCAGGAAAAUGUCAUCCUCGAGGAUAUUUGCCUCGAGCUGAGGAAAAGAAUUCUAGGAUUCUUUGGACGGAAGAUGGAGGACAGAGCCACAGAGAUGGCAAAGCUGAAGAGGAAGAUGGCAGAUCAGGAAAGGAGGAGAGGAUUUUUCCAUCGCCUCUUCAGGAGGUAAACGCCUCCAUGAGAUUUUUCUCCCGGUGCUCGGGUUUUUAAAAAGGAAAAUGGUGGAGACGGGGGGUGGAUUUUGCCACCUGAUCGUCAGGAGGUAGACGGUAGGCAAAAUACAAGUUUAGCAAGGCGGUGAGAGACGCUAAACGACUGUACUCUGAGAAACUCCAACAACAGUUCUCAGCAAGUGACUCUGCUUCGGUUUGGAGAGGCCUCAAACACCUCACCAACUACAAGCCAAAAACCCCCCACUCCAUGAAUGACCUCCGCCUGGCAGACGAGCUCAAUGAGUUCUACUGCAGAUUUGAAAGACAAUGUCCUGAUCCCAUCCCCCACAGCUCCACCAACCUGCUGCAGUCCCCCUCCCCUCCCUCCCCCAGCCCAUCAGGUGCUCACGCCUCUUCAUCAUUAUCACCUUCCCCUCCCCCACCAGCAACGACCCUCUCUAUUCUGGAGAGAGACGUUAACCGGCUCUUUAGAAGACUAAAUCCCCGUAAGGCAGCCGGUCCGGACUCCGUUUCCCCUCACUCCCUGAAGCAUUGUGCUGACCAGCUGUCUCCGGUGUUCACGGACAUCUUCAACACCUCCCUGGAGACAUGCCACGUACCAGCCUGCUUCAAGGCCUCCACCAUCAUCCCUGUCCCCAAGAAGCCCA
ensembl:lncRNA